rnacentral:rRNA from 1 species
UGGGGAAUAUUGCACAAUGGGCGCAAGCCUGAUGCAGCAACGCCGCGUGAGGGAUGACGGCCUUCGGGUUGUAAACCUCUUUUAGCAGGGAAGAAGCGAAAGUGACGGUACCUGCAGAAAAAGCACCGGCUAACUACGUGCCAGCAGCCGCGGUAAUACGUAGGGUGCAAGCGUUGUCCGGAAUUAUUGGGCGUAAAGAGCUCGUAGGCGGUCUGUCGCGUCUGCUGUGAAAUCCCGAGGCUCAACCUCGGGUCUGCAGUGGGUACGGGCAGACUAGAGUGCGGUAGGGGAGAAUGGAACUCCUGGUGUAGCGGUGGAAUGCGCAGAUAUCAGGAAGAACACCGAUGGCGAAGGCAGUUCUCUGGGCCGUAACUGACGCUGAGGAGCGAAAGCGUGGGGAGCGAACAGGAUUAGAUACCCUGGUAGUCCACGCCGUAAACGUUGGGCGCUAGAUGUGGGGACCAUUCCACGGUUUCCGUGUCGCAGCUAACGCAUUAA